UGGUUCUGGCAUCGAUGAAGAACGCAGCAAAAUGCGAUAAGUAAUGUGAAUUGCAGAAUUCAGUGAAUCAUCGAAUCUUUGAACGCACAUUGCGCCCAUUAGUAUUCUAGUGGGCAUGCCUGUUCGAGCGUCAUUAAGUCCACUUAAGCCCUGCUUAGUGUUGGGAAUCUACUCUGGCGGCGGCUACACUGUAGCUACCCUGUAGUUCCUUAAAGUUAGCGGCGGAGUUGCAGUGUCCUCUGAGCUUAGUAGUAACAUUCUAGCUUUCGAGAAGCCGCAGCGCUUGCCGUAAAACACCCUUCUUCUGAAUGGUUGACCUCGGAUCAGGUAGGAAUACCCGCUGA
rnacentral:misc_RNA from 1 species